GAAAUAACAAACUGAAAUUUAAGCUUCUAACUUAAUUUUUAAGCGUUGAAAUACGUUUUUAUUUCU
rnacentral:tRNA from 1 species